CUCCGGCAGCAGCACGCGGGAGGCGGGGCCGGAGGCUCCUCCGCCCCUCAGCCCGCCCACCCGCGGUCCCGCAGCGGCGCGCGGCUGACGCUCCCUCAGCGAUCCGGCCCUCCGCGGCUCCUGCGCGACCCCACGCAAAAGCGCCCCGUGCGAAGAGCGCGGCCAGCCAGUCCGCAAAGGGCCUCGGGCAGUGCGGGCAGCACGAACGGCGCGAUCGGGGAGCAGGCGCGGCUACGCUCCGCCUCAGUGAUGUCGCCGGGAGGAUCUCCGCGCGGCUACCUCCUCUUCCGCCGCCUUCCUCCCACGCCUUCACCUCCCUCCCCCGCCGCGCUCUGCGGCGAAAAGGAGCGGGCUCCCAGGCCACCUCCCCUCUCUCCACCCAGGGGCCGCGCGUCAGUGGACCUGCAGCCCAGGCAACGGGGCUGCGGACGGCGCGCGUGCCCUGCCUCGCCUCACGCCGGUAGCUGAUGCUCCCGCGGCAGCUGCCACCCCAGCGCCCCAGCCACGGCUUCAGAGGCUCUCGCACGCUGGCUUUUUUUUUUUCCCCCCGCUUUGGUGAACUCGCAGUACUUGGGCUGAGCCCGAAAUCUCGCGAGAUGCUGCAGGCGUCAGUGCGGCUUCCCACUAGGCGCGUGGUACCCGAGGCCGGGCCGGAGCCGCAGGCCAGCCGCGAUUCCUUCGGGCGAUGCUGGGGGCUUUCCGGUCGGGGCCGCAGCCGCUUCCGGAGCCGCGGGCGAGGUGCGUUCCCCAGCCUGGUUUGCUCUGGGCUCUGACCCGCCGCCGCGAAUCUCCGCUCGUAACUCCGGGCCUGAACCUGGAGGAGGGAGGAUUUCCUCUGUGCAGCUUUCGAGCGGUAGACUCACCCUGCCAGGCAGACCUAGAUUGGCAUAACCAGAGAUCAGUUCCAGUUGUGAUGCAGUGGGUGUCUACACACUUCUGAUGACACCUUUAUUUUAAAAGCUGAUGUUCCAAGGUGCAAGCGGUCUUCUCUGUCUUCUUUAUGGCCAGUAAAAUUCUCCAGAAGAGAUUUAUGGCAGCCUCACUCCCAGUAGUUUCUGCAUUUAGUGAGAUAAGGAAUGGAUUUUCUUCUGUGUAUUGCUGACACGAACAGGAGACGGAAAUACUGAGUAGAAGAGGGCGGUUCCCUGGCUAAGGCCCCACCCUCAAGCCUGGAUACCCGCGGCCCUAAAUGAGAAGAGGCGUUUCUGUUUGGGGCCCAAAAAGUUGCUUUUUGACCCACCACGCCCCCUAUCCUGCCCCCAUAUAAACCCCAAACCCCAACCUCCAGAGCAUACCAGCAGGUGAGGAGAUACGAGGCAAGCCGACUGACGGCAAAACGACGUAGCAGAGAAAGAGAGAAGAGGAGGGACGUCUGGACACCGAGAGAUGUUUGGCUCGGGGCAGUCAGAGCGGAGUCCAGCCCCUGGGCGGCCCAACUCCAGGGGAAGAUCACCUUCCCACUUCAUCCAUCCCCACCCUUCCAGCUCCCCAUCCAUCCUGCUGAAAGCCAUUUCCACCACUCAAUAAAACCUCGCAUUCAUCCUUCAAGUCCGUGUGUGACCCGAUUUUUCCUGGAUUCUGGAAAAGAGCUCGGAAUACAGAAAGCUGUCCCCUGGUCCUUUGCCCUUGUGAAAAAGCAGAAGGUCCAUUGAGCUGGUUAACACUCCAGCUGUCUGUGGUGGCCAAGCUGAAAGAGCUUUGUAACACUGGGGUUGCAGGCACCCACCUCUAGACGCUACCGCAGAGCCAGAGCCCAAAGCCCUCACCCCGGCCUCUGCACUUGCCCAUCUGCGUGCUCCCCCUCUCGCAAGGGGUUUCUGCAGAGGGGGCUACUGAACAGAUGGAAUCUUGCUCUCUUGCUCAGACUGGAGUGCAGUGGCAUGACCUUGGCUCACUGCAACCUCACCUCUCGGGUUCAAGCGAUUCUGCCUCAGCCUCUCGAGUAGCUGGGACUACAGGUGGGAGACCUCCACAGAACCCUUCCAGCAAGCUGUCUUCUAAAGCAAACAAGAAAAGGAAAGUCUGAGCAGUUUUGAUUAGAUUUCCCAGAAGUCAAAGCAAGGAAAAAUGAAAAAGCUUCAUUUCUCACGUUCUUAAAAGAGAGCACAGAUGUUGCAUCAUCUGGUUAGAUACCCUGAGAAUAAAAUCUGGAUCCAGUGAGAGGAAAGAUUCUGGGUGCUCAUGAAAAAAGAAACAAAACAAAACUUGGGAGCCUCUUGAGAGUGUACAGCAUCAGCCCUUGCCAACUCUUGUUUAUAUGCAUUUAACUUUCAGUUAACCAUGGGAAUAAUUCAUGAAAAUCCAAUCUACAAACAAAGGCCAUCCUAACGUUCAUGUUAUUCUUUUCCCUAAGAAUCUUUCACAAGAGCUAUAAUCAAGUAGAAUUAUGCUUUGAUUUGAAUUCUAAUUCAAUUGAAAAUAAAAAAUGAGGGCCGGACGCGGUGGCUCAUGCCUGUAAUCCCAGCGCUUUGGGAGGCUGAGGUGGACGGAUCACGAGGUCAGGAGAUCGAGACCAUCCUGGCUAACACGGUGAAACCCGAUCCCUACUAAAAAUACAAAAAAUUAGCCGGGCGUGGUGGCAGGCGCCUGUAGUCCCAGCUACUCGGGAGGCUGAGGCAGGAGAAUGGCGUGAACCCAGGAGGCAGAGGUUGCAGUGAGCCGAGAUCAUGCUACUGCACUCCAGCCUGGGCGACAGAGCGAGACUCUGUGUAUAAAUAAAUAAAUAAAUAAAUAAAUAACGAAAAGGUUGCCAUUGCCCUUUCUGGGGAAAGUGAUAAUGAGGAAAGACUAGUUUCUUAACCCAAGUCAGCUUUAGAGUCGGCAAGGAUGCAAUUUGAGGUGAUCCAGGAAAACUCUAUUAGCAUGGUAUAAGCCUGGUUUUGCAGUAUAUACAGCAAGCCAUAGGAAGUUUCAUUGGAAGCGUUGUGGAACUCAUUGAGAGUUGAAUGGAAGAAAGAACCUAUAGCAGAAAUUUCCAG
rnacentral:lncRNA from 1 species